GGAGCGUUGAACAUAUCGUGACAAGUAGUUUCCGCGCGCUGGAGAGCGUGUGAAUUGCGCCUAAUUACCGUGUCGGGUGGCGCCUCUACGUAGACCUGUGUAACCCCUCAGUUUCUGGGGUGCGGGCUCUGCCGCGCCGCUCUCCCUGGCCGGGGGCGCGAGGCAAGACCCACUUUCCCAAGUGGCCCUGGCGGCCCGGGGCGAGAUGGGGGCAGGUGACAUUUCAAUUACCGCGAUCGGGGCGGGGUUGCAACGCGCGCGGAGAAGGUGCCGAGACUCUUUUCCGGCUUCCUUCCGGCGGUUUCCGCGUCCCCAGUCCGAUGCAUUUGGGGUGGUCAGGAGCCUGUUUGGAUUUUUUCUGCUGCAGCCUUUAAAGCGCAAAUUGUUUAAAAUGUUCUGAUACGAUAAGGCCUCACAAAGAUCCUCUUGGAAGCCGGACGCGCACCCAUGUGUCCAUCCUUCGGCCCAGAGACAAGGUCGCCGCAGCCCCCAGGAGUAGUUUUAACUUCUGCCUCACUCUGCCGUCCUCACGUCAGGGCCCUGCGUUGCAGCUCAGUCUGCAGAGAGCAAUGAAAAUUCGCUUAAUUAGCCAGACAAGUGCGUCUUCCCAUUGUUCUCCCUCUGCUCCAGACCACGCGUUUCCCGCUGUGCUUUCGAACUCACAGGGCCACGGGGUUCUGGCCGAAGCCACCGGGGCGUGGACCGACUGGGCGUGCACACUCGGCUCAGGCGCCUCAGGACGCAGCCGCUUCCACUUAGCAUGGCUACUGGGUGGCGCCCUACCUGCCCAGCCGCCUCUGAGGUCUAGGGCUGGGGAUCUCAGAGAAAGGCGCGGGCGCGAGGAGCCUGGCCCCACUGCAGACCCAGGAGCCGCUGGCGAG